rnacentral:rRNA from 1 species
GAUGAACGCUAGCGAUAGGCCUAACACAUGCAAGUCGAGGGGCAGCAUAGAGUAGCAAUACUUUGAUGGCGACCGGCGCACGGGUGAGUAACACGUAUGCAACCUACCUACAUCAGGGGAAUAACCCGGAGAAAUUCGGACUAAUACCGCAUAAUACAGGAAUGCCGCAUGGCAAUAUUUGUUAAAGAUUUCUCGGAUGUAGAUGGGCAUGCGUUCCAUUAGCUAGUUGGUAAGGUAACGGCUUACCAAGGCAACGAUGGAUAGGGGAACUGAGAGGUUUGUCCCCCACACUGGAACUGAGACACGGACCAGACUCCUACGGGAGGCAGCAGUGAGGAAUAUUGGUCAAUGGACGAGAGUCUGAACCAGCCAAAUCGCGUGAAGGAAGACUGCCCUACGGGUUGUAAACUUCUUUUGUACAGGAAUAAAAGACAUUACGUGUAAUGUAUUGCAUGUACUGUACGAAUAAGCAUCGGCUAACUCCGUGCCAGCCGCCGCCGUAA